GUCUAUGUAGUAUAUUA
rnacentral:tRNA from 1 species